rnacentral:tRNA from 1 species
UGGCCCGUUGGUCAAGCGGUAAAGACACCGCCCUUUCACGGCGGUAACACGGGUUCGAGUCCCGUACGGGUCAUCC